GAUGAACGCUGGCGGCGUGCCUAAUACACGCAAGUCGAGCGAACAGACGAGGAGCUUGCUCCUCUGACGUUAGCGGCGGACGGGUGAGUAACACGUGGAUAACCUACCUAUAAGACUGGGAUAACUUCGGGAAACCGGAGCUAAUACCGGAUAAUAUAUUGAACCGCAUGGUUCAAUAGUGAAAGACGGUUUUGCUGUCAUUUAUAGAUGGAUCCGCGCCGCAUUAGCUAGUUGGUAAGGUAACGGCUUACCAAGGCGACGAUGCGUAGCCGACCUGAGAGGGUGAUCGGCCACACUGGAACUGAGACACGGUCCAGACUCCUACGGGAGGCAGCAGUAGGGAAUCUUCCGCAAAGGGCGAAAGCCUGACGGAGCAACGCCGCGUGAGUGAUGAAGGUCUUCGGAUCGUAAAACUCUGUUAUUAGGGAAGAACAAAUGUGUAAGUAACUAUGCACGUCUUGACGGUACCUAAUCAGAAAGCCACGGCUAACUACGUG
rnacentral:rRNA from 1 species